rnacentral:lncRNA from 1 species
GAGCUGGGUGACUCGAAGCCUGGGUCUUGCACGGCGAUUCGAGUCUCUAAAUCUAGUUCCCUCAGAUUCUCCUAGUUGCUGACUCUAAGAAAGAGGAACUAGGAAACACGAACCAGUGGCCGUGGCAGGGCAGGCCUGGAGCUGUUUGGGCAAUAAAGGUCAUCUCUGUGGAGACAGACGGAAAAGGUAUACAUAUGGGAAGCCAGUGAAAGGAGAUAUAAUGCUUACAUUUUUACCUCUGUCGUUUUGGGGAGAGAAGAAAAAUAUUACAAAAAAAUUUAAGGUGUCUCAAGAAAUGCAAAUGCCAAUGUGUUUUUCAAGCAGCAUGAUUAUAUCAUUGAAUUUUUUGAUUAUUCUAUUGUUUUGAAGCCAUCUCUCAACUUCACAGCCACUGUAAGUUGGUAUAUUUAUUACAAGGCUGUAGUAAUAAGUUCAAUUCAAUGAAAGGGAAAUAAUAUUUUACAUGUUUAUUUAAAAAUUUAACCCAAAAAGUAGAUAAUUAUUUUUCCUCUUUAGAUGUGUGAGACACAUAGAAUUGUUUACAAAUGGCCUUUGUCUAAUAUUAUUUUUUUAAAGUAGGUCCUAACAACAACAAAAAUAUUUUCCUGAAAAUUUAUUUAAUAAGUAAUGUGGAUUUAUUCAUUGAGGAUUUUAUUAAUGGGCAAUCAUAAACUUACUUUAAACUUGAUUUUAGAAUGAGUAAUUUUAGCUGUAGCAAAGAUAUAGUAUUCAAAAUUAUCAAACAAAUAUACUCUUUUUUGUUCAGAGACUGUUGAAGUAAUAUUACCUGAGUAAAUUUUGAUGGUAUACAAGACAUGGUGCUAGGCUGGGCUUGAAAAGCUAAGAAAGACCCAGUCCCUAGCCUGAAGUUCACAGUUUUUGUGAUGGUGCCAAGAAACUAAGCAUAGAAGUACAGUUCCAGGCAAUGUAAUAUUAGGAUCAUGAAUUAAUUUCUAUAGGGAUUUAAAGCAGGGACUGGUAUACUUUUUCUACAUAGCAUUGGACACUAAAUAUUUUCUGCUUUGUAAGCCAUAUGGUCUCUUGUCACAGCUACUCAACUCUGCCAUUUUAUAAACAAAAGAGAGUGGCUAUGUUCCAACUAAACGUUACUUAUAGAAAUAAUGGAUUGGCAUGCCUGCUUGCUAGUCAAUCCUUGAUUUAAAGAAAGUAAGGGGGUCUCUUCUUCUUGAAUAUAUGAAGAAAAGUUUUAGGUAGUUCCUGAUUUUAAUGACCUUGGUAACAUAGAUAGUUUGAAAGGCAAGUAAAAAACUGUGAAGCUGCAAAUGAUCAUUUCCAAAUGAGUAGAGUGGAACAAUGGGAGUUCAC